UACAGAGGUCUCAAGCGUUGUUCGGAUUCAUUGGGCGUAAAGGGUGCGUAGGCGGCGCGGUAAGUCGGGUGUGAAAUCUCGGAGCUUAACUCCGAAACUGCAUUCGAUACUGCCGUGCUUGAGGACUGGAGAGGAGACUGGAAUUUACGGUGUAGCGGUGAAAUGCGUAGAGAUCGGAAGGAACACCAGUGGCGAAGGCGGUUGCCUGGAGCUUUGCUGACGCUGAGGCGCGAAAGCGUGGGGAGCGAUCCGG
rnacentral:rRNA from 1 species